AUUGAACGCUGGCGGCAGGCCUAACACAUGCAAGUCGAACGAGUGGCGGACGGGUGAGUAAUGUCUGGGAAACUGCCUGAUGGAGGGGGAUCACUACUGGAAACGGUAGCUAAUCCCGCAUACCAUCAGAUGUGCCCAGAUGGGAGUAGCUUGUUGGUGGGGUAACGGCUCCCCUAGGCCACGAUCCCUAGCUGGUCUGAGGGGAUGACCAGCCACACUGGGACUGGGACACGGUCCAGAAACCUACGGGAGGCAGCAGUGGGGAAUAUUGCACAAUGGGCGGAAGCCGGAUACAGCCAUGCCGCGUGUAUGAAGAAGGCCUUCGAGUUGUAAAGUACUUUCAGCGGGGAGGCGUUACCCGCAGAAGAAGCACCGGCUAACUCCGUGCCAGCAGCCGCGGUAAUAC
rnacentral:rRNA from 1 species